UAUAUAGCAAAAUCGAUUUGAUUAUGCUCUUCUUUUCUUGUCCUUUUUUCCGUUUUUGGCUUUGCCAAGAAAUUCCCGCUUAUGCACAGCCAUUUAGCCCAUUUCAAAUGGCCAACCAAACCGUCGUCUCAAUGAGACAAUAACCCCCCUCCUUGUCUGUUGACCAGUUGACCCCUCCUAAAACCCCAGCGAGAAACCAAAGCCGAAGCGGCGAAGCGCAACGCGAAGGCGGAGCCGACGCCGAUGGAAAGCAAGGCGAUCAACGCCGCCCGCGCGGUUGCGCCGCCGCCGCCUAUUAAUAGGUCGGGAUCGAAGGCGGCAACGCCAAGCUCCCCCACCACGCGAGGUUGGAUUCCCCACCGACUCCGAAGCGAAUAACGGAAUAACCGUCUCGACCCCUCGCCGCCGCGGAUGGCGAGGCCGAGGACGAGGUCGGUGGCCAGGAUGGAGGCCACGGCGGCGGCUGCGGCGGCGGCGGAGGAGGAGGAGGCGGGGAAUCCCGACGGCGCGGAGGGCGCGGCCGUCGUCGCCGUUGCUCCCGAAGCCGCCGCCGAAGGUCCGAACGAGCCGAACGCAGGUGAAGCUUCGAGGGAGCCGGACGCGGGUCAAGCUUCGAGGGAGCCGGACGUCGCUGGACCUUCGAGGCAGCCGGGCGCCGCUGGACCAUCGAGGGAGCCGGGCGCCGCUGGAGGUCCGAGGCAGCCGGGUGCGGCCGGAGGUCCGUGGCAGCUGGUCCCCAACGCGGCAGGGCCGGCGGUUGCGCCGUACGUUGAGGACAUCGACCGAUACCUCCGGUCUCUCGAGGCUGAGGAAUCAAGGAGGCCGAUAGUUAACUAUGAUCAGGAGAUACAAGGAGGCCACAUCAAUAUGAGGGGAAAGCUUGUGAACUGGAUGGAGGAACUGGUUUAUGGGUUCAAUCUUUGGGAUAACAUACUUUACCUUGCGGUUUCAUAUGUUGACCGCUUCCUUUCAAGAAAUGUCGUUAACAGGGAAAGGCUGCAACUUCUUGGUACCUCUGCAUUGUUCGUUGCUUCUAAGUAUGAAGACCGUUGCCAUCCUAGUGCAAGAUUCUUCAGUUCGAUUACUGCUGACACUUACACCACACAGCAGGUGGUGGCGAUGGAAGCGAACAUACUGAGUUUUCUGAACUUUCAGAUGGGGAGUCCCACUGUAAUAACUUUCCUACGGAGAUUCUUAUUUUCUUGUCGUGGAAGCAAUAGACCAAUAAACAUAAGACUGGAAUUGAUGUGUAUCUAUCUUGCGGAAUUGAGCUUGUUAGACGAUUACAACAUAAGGUUUCUUCCAUCGAUUGUUGCUGCUGCCUGCCUGUUUGUUGGCAAGUUCACACUCAACCCGAACACUCGUCCUUGGAACCUGUCGGUUCAACGCAUCACAGGCUACAAGGUCUCUGAUAUCGAAGAUUGUAUUCGUUCCAUACAUGAUUUGCAAGCGGGCAGAAAGUGGUCGAACCUUAGAGCCAUCAGAAGCAAGUACGAGGACGACGCGUACAGUUCGAGCGCGUGUCGACCAUUCCUUCACCAAAUACAAUCAAGCCGUCUUUCCUCAGGGAUCUCAAGUAUGUGAACGGCUGAAGUGCCCUUGCAGCAUCCUUGCAACCUGCAGGGUAGUGUGGAAAAAUACAUGGACAAUGAAUAGAAGAAUACAUCAUACACGUACUUUGUUGCCGAGUGAAGAGCUUCAAAACUAGAGACACGGCGCAGGUUAGCUGAAAUUUAGCAUUGGAAAGGAAUAAGUUUUAUGUUGUGAAUAAGAAGAACCAAUACUGGACAAAAAAGGAGCAAUGCAGAAAUGUUAACUGAAUUGAGGGAAUGUAGUUUCUCCCAUUUAAGGAAAGGAGGAUCCAAGGUACAGUUACUAGCAUAAUUAUUAGCAUAGUUUUUAUGAACCUAAGUUUCCAAUUGACUUGCAUUAUAGUGAACAGGACAUUUCACACCUGAUCCAAAUAAUAAUUGUUUCUAAUGAUUAUUAUGUUCUUAUAUGAAAAAGUUUAAAACACCAGAGAACUUAGAUGUUAUAAGCUGAGUAUACCAGAAAGUUUCCAUGCAACGUGAUUGAAUAAUUGUGGGCUACUUUUGAAUCAUAACAUCAGUUUACAAGGCAAAAGUCAAGAUAUAGCUGAACA